rnacentral:rRNA from 1 species
GCUACGGGAGGCAGCAGUGAGGAAUAUUGGUCAAUGGACGAGAGUCUGAACCAGCCAAGUAGCGUGAAGGAUGACUGCCCUCUGGGUUGUAAACUUCUUUUAUAAAGGAAUAAAACGAGGCACGUGUGCCUUUUUGCAUGUACUUUAUGAAUAAGGAUCGGCUAACUCCGUGCCAGCAGCCGCGGUAAUACGGAGGAUCCGAGCGUUAUCCGGAUUUAUUGGGUUUAAAGGGAGAGUAGAUGGGUUGUUAAGUCAGUUGUGAAAGUUUGCGGCGCAACCGUAAAAUUGCAAUUGAUACUGGCAGUCUUGAGUACAGUUGAGGUAGGCGGAAUUCGUGGUGUAGCGGUGAAAUGCUUAGAUAUCACGAAGAACCCCGAUUGCGAAGGCAGCUUACUAAACUGUGACUGACAUUGAUGCUCGAAAGUGUGGGUAUCAAACAGGAUUAGAUACCCUGGUAGUC